rnacentral:rRNA from 1 species
UGGGGAAUUUUGCGCAAUGGGCGAAAGCCUGACGCAGCGACGCCGCGUGAGUGAUGAAGGCCCUCGGGUUGUAAAGCUCUGUUGGGAGAGACGAAUAAGCUUUGGCUAAUAUCGAGGGGGAUGACGGUAUCUCCUAAGCAAGCACCGGCUAACUCUGUGCCAGCAGCCCCGGUAAGACAGAGGGGGCAAACGUUGUUCGGAAUUACUGGGCGUAAAGCGCGCGUAGGCGGCUUGUUAAGUCGGAGGUGAAAUCCCCCGGCUCAACCAAGGAAGUGCAUUCGAGACUGUCGAGCUAGAGUACGGAAGAGGAUCGCGGAAUUCCCGGUGUAGCAGUGAAAUUCGUAGAUAUCGGGAGGAACACCAGUGGCGAAGGCGGCGAUCUGGGUCGAUACUGACGCUGAGGUGCGAAAGCGUGGGGAGCAAACA